AUUGAACGCUGGCGGCCGGCCUAACACAUGCAAGUCGAGCGAGCGGCGGACGGGUGAGUAAUGUAUGGGGAUAUGCCCGAUAGAGGGGGAUAACUACUGGAAACGGUGGAUAAUACCGAAUACUAUCGGAUGAACCCUGAUGGGCUUAGCUAGUAGGUGGGGUAAAGGCUCACCUAGGCGACGAUCUCUAGCUGGUAUGAGAGGAUGAUCAGCCACACUGUGACGGAGACACGGCCCAGACUCCUACGGGAGGCAGCAGUGGGGAAGAUUGCACAAUGGGCGCAAGCCUGAUGCAGCCAUGCCGCGUGUAUGAAGCAGGCCUUCGGUUUGUAAAGCACUUUCAGCGGGGAGGCGUUACCCUCAGAAGAAGCACCGGCUAACUCCGUGCCAGCCGCCGCGGUAAUUC
rnacentral:rRNA from 1 species